AUCAAACAUACAAUGUUUCAUUUCAUUUAGUGGUAUUCUUUGUUCUGGUUUUAACUCUCUCUCAGAAAUUUCAUCAAGUAACUGUCUGUUCCUUCCUGACAUUAAACUCAUUCCACCCUGACGUUUUGCUUGUGUUUCCCUACUCAGGAGUGGAUGCUGCAGAAUGCCAAGAGUGUGAGUAAUUUGACAUCCCAGUGCUAGGAUGGAGCUGGGGUGUCAGCUUCAAGGAUGAUAUUCAUAUUAAAGGCUGCUGUGGUAGGUACUGAUACGAUCCAGGAUCACAUCCCAUUGACAGAAGACAUGUUCUGCACGUGCAUUGAGUCGCAUCCCUCCGGUCACUGACCACUGACAGUUGAUUUGGCACAGAGCUUGCUGGAUGAGCAUCUGGCAUCCUGGCUGAAGGACAUGUCUGAAACUAUUAGUGAUGAACCCCAUCAUUGGCUCGGGCACCACAGCAAGCAUACUUCAGGGCAGAUACCAUGAUGUCACUCAUUGUGGGAGUAGCAUUCAACCAGUAGGACAUGAGGACAAUCAUGAGGACAAGCCUCCAGGUGAACAGCAAGAUCUUGUUGCCCUUUCUUAUGCUAGAGAAGGGAGGCCAGUGUCAGGGUCCGGCCUUCAUCUAAAAGGUGGUUUUAGCCAUCAGAACAAGACCUAAAGGGCUCAGGAAGUGCACGUUGUGAGCUGGGCCCGAA
ensembl:lncRNA